GAACCUGCGGAAGGAUCUUA
rnacentral:rRNA from 1 species